UAAAAAUAUAAAAAUCUUCUUCUUAAAUAGUCAUACUAAUAUACCAUCAUCCUCAUGUAGUGCAGAUUUAUAGUUGUUCAAAUCAUGUUUUGGGCUAGGUUAGGCUAAAAUGAGGAUUCAGGGUUAUACCUUGGAAUAAAUAUGAAAAUUUCUUUUAAUCAUUUCAAAAGUAGCAGGAUCACACUAAUUCAUACUGAUAUGCAAACAUUUCCAAUUCAUGUGGAUUCAUGUUUGUUUGAAGUAUGGAGCCUAGGCCUAAAACUUAUAGAUAUCCAAGAAUUCGAGAUAUUGAGAGUAAAAUAGUUAAAGAAUAAGUGAUGGGGGCUUCCAAAUCACUUUGACAUAUCCAUGGUAUUCAAGAUAUCUGUGUUCAAGAUACCGAAGUUCAACUGUAUAUUGGAAAAAAAAAAGCUUUUAAAAAUCUUCUUCUCCAGAACAGGACAGGUAUGUUAAUUAAGGCUGCACCUAGGUAUUCUGACUUUGAGAAAAUUACGUCACAAUAAGCAAUAUGAUGUGAACUUUAGUGCAAGUGAUUUGUUAAUAUUUGCAUUUCAAGAUUCAGUUGAAUAGAAACAUGCAGAAAUAAAUGAAAACAAAAUGUUGUUAAUUUUUUUUAUAUCUGUCAGGGGUUAAAUACUUUAACUGGUGACGUCAUUAACUGUUUAUUAUAUGUUUUGCCGAGUGAAAAUGUAACAAGAAUUUUGUCAAGAAAGCAUGUAAACAGAUAUGUUAAAUGAGGGUUUAGAAGCAAAUAUCUUGAAUAUUGUGUGCGAUUCAUAUGGAAUUAAAGUGUGGUGAUCUAUUUUCAUCAAUGAUUUCUUUUAAUGAAGACAAGCAGCUGUUCACAAAUUCCUGUCAGCCUUUUUCCUGUCAUUCUUGACAAGUUCAACAUAUUUAUACACUGGAUAUGUUGAAACAUAAUAUUUGCCCAGUUCAAAAGCUUGCAUUUUAUAAUACUUAGGAAGUGCUGCUAGAAUCAUGUGGUAAGCAUGGUUCAAUUAUAGUAUACAGGCAGAAUCCAUAACAAUUCUGCCAUAACUGGAAGGUAUUUUUGAAUCCUUAAUAAAAGUUUUGCAGAUUUAGAUUUUACUGACUUAUACUUAAAAAAGUCACAUAAGUAUAAGCAUCAGGGCGACUAUACUUUAUGAUAUUACAAUUUUUCGUAGCAUGUAUUACCAGUACACAAAAAAUAUAAGUAUGUGUAUGUACAUGUAAUAACCUUUUUAUCUUGAAUUCAAAUAAAAUAAAGAUAUUGAAAAUACU